GUGCUCGCUUCGGCAGCACAUAUACUAAAAUUGGAACGAUACAGAGGAGAUUAGCAUGGCCCCUGCACAAGGAUGAUUCUAUGAAGAAAAUACUAAAUAA
ensembl:snRNA U6 U6 spliceosomal RNA